CCCUACGGGGUGCAGCAGGCGCGAAAACUCCGCAAUGCGCGAAAGCGUGACGGGGUCACCCCGAGUGUCACCUGCUGAAGGUAACUUUUCCUCAGUCUAAUCAGCUGGGGGUAAUAAGGGGAGGGCAAGUCUGGUGUCAGCCGCCGCGGUAAUACCAGCUCCCCGAGUGGUGAGGACGAUUAUUGGGCCUAAAGCGUCCGUAGCCGGCUUGGUAAGUUUCCCGUUAAAUCCGACGAUUCAAUCGUUGGGCUGCGGGAAAUACUGUUAAGCUAGGAGGCGGGAGAGGCCGGCGGUACUUUUGGGGUAGGGGUGAAAUCCUAUAACCCCAAGAGGACCACCAGUGGCGAAGGCGGCCGGCCAGAACGCACUCGACGGUGAGGAAUUGGCGGGGGAGCAC
rnacentral:rRNA from 1 species